rnacentral:rRNA from 1 species
CGCUAUCACUCCUACGGGAGGCAGCAGUAGGGAAUCUUCCACAAUGGACGAAAGUCUGAUGGAGCAACGCCGCGUGAGUGAAGAAGGGUUUCGGCUCGUAAAACUCUGUUGUUAAAGAAGAACAUAUCUGAGAGUAACUGUUCAGGUAUUGACGGUAUUUAACCAGAAAGCCACGGCUAACUACGUGCCAGCAGCCGCGGUAAUACGUAGGUGGCAAGCGUUGUCCGGAUUUAUUGGGCGUAAAGCGAGCGCGGGCGGUUUUUAAGUCUGAUGUGAAAGCCUUCGGCUCAACCGAAGUAGUGCAUCGGAAACUGGGAAACUUGAGUGCAGAAGAGGACAGUGGAACUCCAUGUGUAGCGGUGAAAUGCGUAGAUAUAUGGAAGAACACCAGUGGCGAAGGCGGCUGUCUGGUCUGUAACUGACGCUGAGGCUCGAAAGUAUGGGUAGCAAACAGGAUUAGAUACCCUGGUAG